UGGGGAAUUUUCCGCAAUGGGCGAAAGCCUGACGGAGCAACGCCGCGUGAGGGAUGAAGGCCUCUGGGCUGUAAACCUCUUUCCUCAAGGAAGAAGAUCUGACGGUACUUGAGGAAUAAGCCACGGCUAAUUCCGUGCCAGCAGCCGCGGUAAUACGGGAGUGGCAAGCGUUAUCCGGAAUUAUUGGGCGUAAAGCGUCCGCAGGCGGCCUCGUAAGUCUGUCGUUAAAGCGUGGAGCUUAACUCCAUUUCAGCGAUGGAAACUGCGAGGCUAGAGUGUGGUAGGGGCAGAGGGAAUUCCCGGUGUAGCGGUGAAAUGCGUAGAUAUCGGGAAGAACACCAGUGGCGAAGGCGCUCUGCUGGGCCAUAACUGACGCUCAUGGACGAAAGCCAGGGGAGCGAAAGGGAUUAGAUACCCCUGUAGU
rnacentral:rRNA from 1 species